AUUGAACGCUGGCGGAAUGCUUUACACAUGCAAGUCGAACGGCAGCACGGACUUCGGUCUGGUGGCGAGUGGCGAACGGGUGAGUAAUGUAUCGGAACGUGCCCAGUCGUGGGGGAUAACGUAGUGAAAAUUACGCUAAUACCGCAUACGAUCUAUGGAUGAAAGCGGGGGAUCGCAAGACCUCGCGCGAUUGGAGCGGCCGAUAGCAGAUUAGGUAGUUGGUGGGGUAAAGGCCCACCAAGCCAACGAUCUGUAGCUGGUCUGAGAGGACGAGCAGCCACACUGGAACUGAGACACGGUCCAGACUCCUACGGGAGGCAGCAGUGGGGAAUUUUGGACAAUGGGCGAAAGCCUGAUACAGCCAUUCCGCGUGCAGGAUGAAGGCCCUCGGGUUGUAAACUGCUUUUGUACAGAACGAAAAGGUUUCUACUAAUACUAGGAGCUCAUGACGGUACUGUAAGAAUAAGCACCGGCUAACUACGUGCCAGCCGCCGCCGUAA
rnacentral:rRNA from 1 species